rnacentral:rRNA from 1 species
GACAGCAGUAGCCACGGGAAUACGUAGGUGGCGAGCGUUGUCCGGAAUUAUUGGGCGUAAAGGGAGCGCAGGCGGACAUAUAAGUCCAUCUUAAAAGUGCGGGGCUCAACCCCGUGAGGGGAUGGAAACUGUAUGCCUUGAGUGCAGGAGAGGAAAGCGGAAUUCCCAGUGUAGCGGUGAAAUGCGUAGAUAUUGGGAGGAACACCAGUGGCGAAGGCGGCUUUCUGGACUGUAACUGACGCUGAGGCUCGAAAGCCAGGGGAGCGAACGGGAUUAGAUACCCCCGUAGUCCCUGUCUCUUAUACA